CACCGCUCCGCUCCGCGCCGCUCCGCUCGGCCCCGCCGCCGCCGGACCCCCGGCCGGGGAUUGGGAGGGGGGGGGCGCGGUCCCAGCCAUGUGCCUUCAACCACUCUGGAGAAAUGUUGGGAGGAGCUCUCAGUGCGAUCCUUUCCAUACCUUCCAAGGAUUUUUAGGAUCGUGGGAUUUAUGGACCUGCAAAAUCCUCUGGAGAACAUCAGCCACCGACAAAACCAUCUGGAAAUUCCUGCUGUCUUUUUGCCCUGUCUUUCCUGAGUCACCGAGUCUUGGGAAGGAAGCAUCUCUGCUCUGAGGAUUACAGCAAAUCAGUUGCUUGCCGUCCUUACUGGAAUACCUUCCCUUUCAGUUGCUCAGAACAUAGCAAUUACUGAAGAAGGCAGAAGGAUAUUUUUUCCCUUUCACCGAGCUUUUGCAGCGCAGCAGUGGCUGUGUCCGGCUAUGUAGAUGGUUUCCACAUUCUCUACCCAAUUUCUUUUCCUGAUGUUUAGGAACUGAAUCAUUCUGUUUCC
rnacentral:lncRNA from 1 species